rnacentral:rRNA from 1 species
CUACGGGAUGCCACCAGUGGGGAAUAUUGCACAAUGGAGGAAACUCUGAUGCAGCAACGCCGCGUGGAGGAUGACACUUUUCGGAGCGUAAACUCCUUUUAUAUAGGAAGAAGAUGACGGUACUAUAUGAAUAAGCGCCGGCUAACUCCGUGCCAGCAGCCGCGGUAAUACGGAGGGCGCAAGCGUUACUCGGAAUCACUGGGCGUAAAGAGCGUGUAGGCGGAUUAAAAAGUCAGAAGUGAAAUCCUAUAGCUUAACUAUAGAACUGCUUCUGAAACUCUUAAUCUAGAAUAUGGGAGAGGUAGAUGGAAUUUCUGGUGUAGGGGUAAAAUCCGUAGAGAUCAGAAGGAAUACCGAUUGCGAAGGCGAUCUACUAGAACAUUAUUGACGCUGAGACGCGAAAGCGUGGGGAGCAAACAGGAUUAGAUACCCGUGUAGUC